UGCUUAAAACAUAGCGUUAAUUCAUCGCAUCCCAUUAGAAUUCCGCAGUUAAGCACGCUCGAGCUAGAGUAGUACUUGGAUGAGUGACCACCCAUGAAGUCCUAGUAUUUUACAUGC
rnacentral:rRNA from 1 species